rnacentral:misc_RNA from 1 species
GAAGAAAAGAGAAGCGAUCGGUAGAAAAGCUGUCAUUUCUCAAGCAGAUUACGUCGAGCCUCGUGUAUACCUAGAUGAAAAACCACAAGCCGUGGCGCAUCGAUUCUGCAAUUAUGGACUCACGCGUGGAUAGUCUGCGGCUUCGAAAUUACGCUGCUUGAUAUACCCUGGUAUCCGCAACAUCGGAGAACUAUGCCUCUUAAUUUACUCUCAACGACGAAAACGAGUGCGAAUAUAUGGAUAUUUUCAACGUCGUCCUUGCAUUACC